GACGUAGGGCGCGAGCGUUGUCCGGAUUUACUGGGCGUAAAGGGCGCGUAGGCGGCGCAACAAGUCACUUGUGAAAUCUCCGGGCUUAACCCGGAGCGGUCAAGUGAUACUGUCGUGCUAGAGUGCGGAAGGGGCUACUGGAAUUCUCGGUGUAGCGGUGAAAUGCGUAGAUAUCGAGAGGAACACCUGCGGCGAAGGCGGGUAGCUGGGCCGACACUGACGCUGAUGCGCGAAAGCCAGGGGAGCGAACGGG
rnacentral:rRNA from 1 species